rnacentral:rRNA from 1 species
CAGUAGCCGCGGUAAUACGAAGGGUGCAAGCGUUACUCGGAAUUACUGGGCGUAAAGGGUGCGUAGGUGGUUUUUUAAGUCCGUUGUGAAAUCCCUGGGCUCAACCUGGGAAUGGCAGUGGAUACUGGAAAGCUAGAGUGCGGUAGAGGGUAGUGGAAUUCCCGGUGUAGCAGUGAAAUGCGUAGAGAUCGGGAGGAACACCAGUGGCGAAGGCGGCUACCUGGACCAGCACUGACACUGAAGCACGAAAGCGUGGGGAGCAAACAGGAUUAGAUACCCCUGUAGUCCCUGUCUCUUAUAC